rnacentral:siRNA from 1 species
CCACAAUACUACACUCCAUCGCC